rnacentral:rRNA from 1 species
GACGAACGCUGGCGGCGUGCUUAACACAUGCAAGUCGAACGGUAAGGCCCUUCGGGGUACACGAGUGGCGAACGGGUGAGUAACACGUGGGUGAUCUGCCCCGCACUUCGGGAUAAGCCUGGGAAGCUGGGUCUAAUACCGGAUAGGACCACUGCCUGCAUGGGUGGUGGUGGAAAGCUUUUGCGGUGUGGGAUGGGCCCGCGGCCUAUCAGCUUGUUGGUGGGGUGAUGGCCUACCAAGGCGACGACGGGUAGCCGGCCUGAGAGGGUGACCGGCCACACUGGGACUGAGAUACGGCCCAGACUCCUACGGGGGGCAGCAGUGGGGAAUAUUGCACAAUGGGCGCAAGCCUGAUGCAGCGACGCCGCGUGAGGGAUGACGGCCUUCGGGUUGUAAACCUCUUUCAGCACCGACGAGGCGCAAGUGACGGUAGGUGCAGAAGAAGGACCGGCCAACUACGUGCCAGCCGCCGCGGUAA